UGAAACUUGUCGGAGUGCCACAUGGCUGAGACCGUAUUACGGGAUCCGUUGAACCUGAUCAGGCUAAUACCUGCGAAGGGAACAAGAGAAAAUCUUCU
rfam:Photobacterium profundum SS9